CCUACGGGUGGCAGCAGUGAGGAAUAUUGGUCAAUGGACGAGAGUCUGAACCAGCCAAGUAGCGUGAAGGAUGACUGCCCUCUGGGUUGUAAACUUCUUUUAUAUGGGAAUAAACUGUUCCACGUGUGGGAUUUUGUAUGUACCAUAUGAAUAAGGAUCGGCUAACUCCGUGCCAGCAGCCGCGGUAAUACGGAGGAUCCGAGCGUUAUCCGGAUUUAUUGGGUUUAAAGGGAGCGUAGGUGGAUUGUUAAGUCAGUUGUGAAAGUUUGGGGCUCAACCGUAAAACUGCAGUUGAAACUGGCAGUCUUGAGUACAGUAGAGGUGGGCGGAAUUCGUGGUGUAGCGGUGAAAUGCUUAGAUAUCACGAAGAACUCCGAUUGCGAAGGCAGUUCACUGGACUGCAACUGACACUGAGGCUCGAAAGUGUGGGUAUCAAACAGGAUUAGAUACCCGUGUAGUC
rnacentral:rRNA from 1 species